rnacentral:rRNA from 1 species
UGGGGAAUAUUGCACAAUGGAGGGAACUCUGAUGCAGCAACGCCGCGUGCGGGAUGACGGCCUUCGGGUUGUAAACCGCUUUCAGCCAUGACGAAGCUUUUGUGACGGUAGUGGUAGAAGAAGCACCGGCUAACUACGUGCCAGCAGCCGCGGUGAUACGUAGGGUGCGAGCGUUGUCCGGAAUUAUUGGGCGUAAAGAGCUUGUAGGCGGUUUGUCGCGUCGAUAGUGUAAACACGCAGCUUAACUGUGUGCCUGCUGUCGAUACGGGCUGACUAGAGGAGGGUAGGGGAGAAUGGAAUUCCCGGUGGAGCGGUGGAAUGCGCAGAUAUCGGGAGGAGCACCAGUGGCGAAGGCGGUUCUCUGGACCUUUCCUGACGCUGAGAAGCGAAAGCGUGGGUAGCAAACAGG